rnacentral:tRNA from 1 species
GACAUGUUAGCUCAGUGGUUAGAGCGCCGUGUGAGGUACACGGAAGGUCAUGAGUUCGAUUCUCAUACAAGUCA